UUUAAUCUGUCAUAAUGAGAGCAGCAGUAGUGCUGAUAGCCUGUGGCUUGUAUCAACGCUUUAGAAAUGUUAACAAGUAAUGACUAUUUUCUGUUAGCAAUAACUGUAGCAAUCGUGUGUCACCUUAACCUUUAUCCUCUGAAUCCUAUUCAUAUUUUUAAUUUCAAUCACUAGUAAAUCAUAUACUGCUAGCUUUAUUAUCUGAAACCAGCUGCUCUAAUAUUUCUUCCUUUAUUUAUUCAGACCUCUGCCAUAGGAGGGAAUCAUCAAGGAGAAGCCUUGUGUUUUCAUCAUGAGGCCUCAUUAAACACGAUAAGGUUGGAAUGUAGCCAGAUUUUUCCCCAUGGUUGGCCUUGGAAAUCAGUUUCUAACUCAGGGGGCAUCAAACGAGGUGGCUCUAAGGCGGCUGGUGGGAAGAGUUUGUGCUGCUGAGGAAGAUGAAUUAGAAGAUCCACUCUUUUCGUUAGUACUGUGAGCAGACUACAUCUGGGUUCCUGUAAUGGAAGGAACAAAUACUGAGGCUUCCAGAAUGCUAAGUACCUUUUAGGUAAAAGGGGAUCUGCUUGAAAGUUGGACCUGGGUGGAGCCCUUUAUUGUGAGAAAUAUGAUCGACCUUCCUGGACAUGUUGAGACUUCAGUCAUUCCUAUAUCUUGAGAUGUUGACGGCACCAAGUGGGUGCUCGAUAUAGGUGAAUUAAAUGGAUAAACGAGUGAAUUAAACAAAUAACAAAAUGCAAGGUAACUCCUUUCAUUUCCUCAGUAAGGGGCUCUAUGUCUCAUCUCAUUCAUUUAUUAAUUCAUUUGCCAUACAGUGUUUGAGAACUUACGAUGUUCUAGGUUUUUUAAAAAACGCCGAAAUUCAGAGAUGCUUAUUUUCAUUUCUGCAGGUUCUGCCAUCUAUAAUUUUGGUGUGAGGAAUGAGUUAGGAAUCUAAAUUUUAGAAAACGGUUGCCCAAUUGUAAUAACACUUAAA
rnacentral:lncRNA from 10 species